GGAAUAUUGCGCAAUGAGCGAAAGCUUGACGCAGCGACACCGCGUGUGGGAUGACGGAUCUAGGUUUGUAAACCACUUUCAGGAGGGAAGAAAAUGACGGUACCUCCACAAGAAGCCCCGGCCAACUACGUGCCAGCAGCCGCGGUAAUACGUAGGGGGCGAGCGUUGUCCGGAUUUAUUGGGCGUAAAGAGCUCGUAGGCGGUUCAACAAGUCGGUCGUGAAAGUUCAGGGCUCAACCCUGAAAUGUCGAUCGAUACUGUUGUGACUAGGAUACGGUAGAGGUGAGUGGAAUUCCGAGUGUAGCGGUGAAAUGCGUAGAUAUUCGGAGGAACACCAAUUGCGAAGGCAGCUCACUGGGCCGCUAUCGACGCUGAGGAGCGAACAGGAGUAGAUAACA
rnacentral:rRNA from 1 species